CGACAGAACAACAGCAGCAGCUGACUUAGGCAGUAAGAUCGAGGUCCUUGUGGCUGGGAUAAAAUAACAGUCACAACAGCUUUACAAGGAAAGAGACGGCAACAAGGGUCGUGCCAGGCUCCGUGCGAAGAUCAGGACGGAGAAGGGGAUCCUGGCUGCUGUUGUGGAGAAGUACAACAGUAUGGUUCCAAGCACACAAACUGUGAAACCAUUCUGUCUCACGAAACAGCAUGGCCGUGGCAGCAACCACAAAGUGAUUCUGUUGAUCUAAGGACCAAAACAAAAGACUUUGACCAAAUCAUGGCAUUAAGAAGACUCCAGGAGGAGAAGAAAAUUUUGGUCACAGAGAUGGACCGUCAUUGGAAGUCCCCUUUGAGUCGUAGAGACACCCUGGAAAAGCUGUCCCACCUGGUGUCUGAUGACACAGUGAUGAAUUUACAAUGGAUUCUGACCAAAGAAGGGUCCAAAGGACUGCAGUGCAUCAUCCAGAGAAAGCUGUGGAACCUUAAAUGGAUGAAGGCUUGUGCAAGAGACUGUUACUUACUGUUACUUACAGAAGACAGCAACUUGCUACAGGACAUUUGAAGCAACAUUUCAAGUGACAAAUAUGAGCAUGGGAGUGGCUCUGAAAGCUCAGAUGAGUUGUAAUGCAGUGCUAUGCAGUAUAAGUGCAGGGCAUUAUCCAAUCUCUGGUAGGAUUAAAUUUUUUG